UGGGGAAUAUUGGACAAUGGGCGAAAGCCUGAUCCAGCAAUGCCGCGUGAGUGAUGAAGGCCUUAGGGUUGUAAAGCUCUUUUACCCGGGAUGAUAAUGACAGUACCGGGAGAAUAAGCCCCGGCUAACUCCGUGCCAGCAGCCGCGGUAAUACGGAGGGGGCUAGCGUUGUUCGGAAUUACUGGGCGUAAAGCGCACGUAGGCGGCUUUGCAAGUCAGAGGUGAAAGCCCGGGGCUCAACCCCGGAAUAGCCUUUGAGACUGCAUCGCUUGAACAUCGGAGAGGUAAGUGGAAUUCCGAGUGUAGAGGUGAAAUUCGUAGAUAUUCGGAAGAACACCAGUGGCGAAGGCGACUUACUGGACGAUUGUUGACGCUGAGGUGCGAAAGCGUGGGGAGCAAACA
rnacentral:rRNA from 1 species